UGUGCAUUUGUCUGGCUUGUGUACAGGUAGAGGCCUUUUGACGAGCUGAUCACCCUCCCAAGGAGUCCUAGCGAAUGUGUAAGAUCUAGGAAAAUCGAAGUUAAAGGAGAAGUUGAUGGGGGUAGUCCUAGGCCCUCUGCGGCUGUAGUGGGAACGAAAAAUAUGAUGCCAUAUUCUGGAGACUAAGAUAUCGUGGGAAGCUGCUGAUGUUGGUAGCCUUGUGUCACCAUCAAUAGAAGUUAGCGGCAAUGUGACAAGUCAGACUGAAUGAGCUGGGAAACGUCAAUGGAAUGUUGUAAAAAGUGUUGUUGAGAAUUGAUCAGCUGCUGGGUAUGUUACAGAGACAUAAUGGGCCCUCGUGUCGGUGAAAAUUAUACCGCCACACCAUACCAACAUUUACAAGGUGACGUACAUGAGGAAUGCCUUCUGCGUGAGUUAUCUUAGUAGUUGUGUGCACGUGUUUCAUGUUGAAUUUUUGGUAACAUUUCUUAGUUAUGUCAUCGGUUUCUUCCUUCGAGCGAGAGUCGCCUGAUGAUUCUCAGAUAUCUGCAUGUGCUUGCCUUAGUCUCGAUGCCUGCCUGCGUGCUUAUUGUUCAGUAUGUAUUAACCUGCUUUUUUAUUCUUCCUUCUGGUUUUCCUGCCUGCCUCAGCCCACCUUCUACCUGGCAUUGUUCUUAACUAGAAUGCAUGUGGCUUCAAUUGGCAUGAGGAAGAAGGAGAGACACAGUAUUGACUUAACAUGAAUUCUUUCAAUGAAUGAGGUGACAUAUAAAAAUAUGUGAUCAUAUUUAGUCAAGUUAUAAUGGGAAUUGAGACACUGUAUAGUUGAUUGAAUUACAUAUUUAAGUUUAACUGUUCUCUGUUAUAAUUAAGAUAAUUAAGUAUUUGUAAUUAUGAUGUCCUAGUGGGGCUUCAUCAUAUAUUUCUAGGAAGUGAGAGGCUGAUUUUUUUCUUCAGGUAAAAUUUUGGAGAAUUAGAAAACCUGGAAGGAGUUUGCUGCUGUGGGUGCUUUGCGACACCAUGUUAUGAACUGAGUUGCAAUGAAACAGAUCUGGCAAUGAACAUGCAAAAGCUUCAGUGAUGUGUCGUGUUGUAGAGAUUUGAUGAGAAUGGAUCUAGUACUGGUGAAGUUGCAUAGCACAAGUGUGUCUUAAUGACAGUGGAAAUGGGACCGCCACACCAUACCAUGAAUGUGGGGUAAGUUGUACAGCAGGAGAGUGCUUAAUAGGAGUUAUAUUGGUUGUUCUCUGCUUUUAGACUUAUUUUUCAGGUAUUAAAUUUUGGGUUUUUGAUGCAUGUGGUUGUUGUGAAGAUGGGUUUUUCUUCAAGUGAAUACUUGCCUGUCUGUUUCAGCCUGCGUGUUGCUUCCUCUUUGAGCCUGCAUGAUUGCCUUCCAACUUUGCCAUCCAUACAAGUGGCAUUAUUCUUACAUAGUAGAGGCCUUUUGACGAGCUGAUCACCCUCCCAAGGAGUCCUAGCGAAUGUGUAAGAUCUAGGAAAAUCGAAGUUAAAGAAGAAGUUGAUGGGGGUAGUCCUAGGCCCUCUGCGGCUGUAGUGGGAUCGAAAAAUA